ensembl:lincRNA
AUGUGGGGGAAUCCUCGUGGGCGCCUCCCCAGGCUCCUUCUCUCCCUUGAAGACACUUUGCCCAAGCAACACAGUACGACAACCCUGUGGGCUGUGCUUGGAGCUGGGGUACCCUGGAAGCUGGCACCCAAGGCGUUCAUGGGGGGGCGGUCAGGGUGCUGUGAGGCAGCACACCAGCCUCAUAGACAGGGAAGCUUGGAACCCAGGAAACCCAGACACCAACUAGGACAGGUCCUUCUGAGACAGCAAAGCCGCUGGGGUGACUUUAGCACACAGCCCGUGACCGUGCCACCAGGUUCCCUCUGCUGCUCCCCCAGAAGUCCCUUAACACCCACUCACAUGGUGUCACGACUCCCCCUCGAGUCCCCAUUGACCCACCCUGCUGACCAAGCUCUUUGCAAACGAUGCCCAAGGAGGCAUCACUGCCUAAAGGCCAGGCCUCUCUGUCUAAAGCCAGUUAAGUCAUGGGCCAGGGGAUUGGGCAGGAGGACAACGAUCCUGUCCCUUCCUGAUCUACCACUAACAGUACCGUGCCUCAGUUCCCCAUCUCUGAGAACAGGAGACUGGCUCCCGCCAGUGCCUACUCUGAAAGGCCACAGGGCAGGUAGUACUCCUCUCCCCACCAGACCUGAUCCCCGUCUAACUCCCCGGACCCGCAGCGUCCUGCUGGCAACCAUCCAGCUGGGCCCCCGACCCGGAUGGACAGGUGGCCAUGCCCUGCUCCAGCUCAGGGUCGUCCCCAAAGACACAGACCCUAACGCGGAGGCCUGGGUUGAGGCCUGGGGUGUAGAGAAGGAAGGGGAAGUGCAGGGAAAGCCUGGCUCCUCCCCGGGCCAGGGAGUGGCGACCCCAGCUGAGGCCACCAUCAAAGACCAAGUCGCCCCCCGGAGAGAGGAGGCCGGGCUCACCGCGGGCCCAGCCCAGGCUCGGGCUCCUCCCGGCAAGGCUCAGGGGCGGGCGGCCAGCAACUCCGCCUCCUGCCCAGGCCUGGGCUCAAAGUCAGCGCUGGGCCAGGUCGGGCCUGCACUGGGUCGGUGCGUGAUAGCGCAGGGGCUGGAAACUAAGAUCCCACCCCAUUGAGAUUUUAACAAAGGAUAGGGCAGCACACAAAAAUAGCUCCCCCAAAUAAUAAUAGCUAACAGUUCUGCAAGUCUAAGCUCAUUCAUUUAUUUAGAAAAUAAAUGUGCUUUGAGGACCUCCUCGUACAAGGGGGCUUGUCACAGGACCCAGUAGAAUACCUUGGCCUCCCUGUGGCGCCUUGUUCCUUGACAUGUCCUCUGCCUCAGGCAGUGUGCAGCCUUUUUCUUUCUUCAGUUCUCUGUGGCAGGACCCUCUUAAAGCCAGAAGAUCUUCUGUCAUUUCCGCCGAUCACGAUCCCCCCUGCUCAUGAACCUGUAAGUGAAUAGCAUGUUCAGGAGCCCUUCAGUUCCUCCACCUCUGCCCCCACAUUUACUUUUUCAGAGCUCUUGGAAUCAGUAAGUCUCCUGGGGGGAAAGACAGAAACUACUCUGAGUAAAGCAGACUGGCUAUGACAGAGGUGGUGGAGGAGCUGAGGCCACAAUCCCCAGGCAGCCCACAGGAGAGUGACCAGAGGAAGCCACCAUCCUGCCAGUGGGGGGAGGAAGUGGAUCACCCGAGGAAGCCUUUGUGUGCAGGGCUGGGGUUAGGCAGGGAGGACUCAGGAAUAGCCUUGGUUUCUGCUUCCCUCUGCCCGCACAUUCUGUGAUGGCCCAGCUGUCAUAUCAGGAAGAUGCCUGAGUUGGGGAGUGAGACCUUGAGGGUUAAGAAAGGAAAGACCACUCAAGCCUAAGUGGAGACCAAGAGAAGUCUGAUUUAGUUCACAGAAUAGCUCCUUUUAUAGGCUCACAUCAACAGGAAGCUUUUAAAGGCACACAACAACAGAAAACACCAAGCAAUUGUU